GUGGCGAACGGGUGAGUAACACGUGAGCAAUCUGCCCUUGACUCUGGGAUAACUGCGGGAAACUGUAGCUAAUACCGGAUACUUUCCUCGCUGGGCAUCCAGCGGGGAAGAAAGAAUUUCGGUCAAGGAUGAGCUCGCGGCCUAUCAGCUAGUUGGUGAGGUAAAGGCUCACCAAGGCGACGACGGGUAGCCGGCCUGAGAGGGUGACUGGCCACACUGGAACUGAGACACGGUCCAGACUCCUACGGGAGGCAGCAGUGGGGAAUAUUGCACAAUGGGCGAAAGCCUGAUGCAGCAACGCCGCGUGAGGGAUGAAGGCCUUCGGGUUGUAAACCUCUUUUAGCAGGGAAGAAGCGAAAGUGACGGUACCUGCAGAAAAAGCACCGGCUAACUACGUGCCAGCAGCCGCGGUAAUACGUAGGGUGCAAGCGUUGUCCGGAAUUAUUGGGCGUAAAGAGCUCGUAGGCGGUUUGUCACGUCUGCUGUGAAAAUCCGAGGCUCAACCUCGGACUUGCAGUGGGUACGGGCAGGCUAGAGUGCGGUAGGGGAGAAUGGAAUUCCUGGUGUAGCGGUGGAAUGCGCAGAUAUCAGGAGGAACACCAAUGGCGAAGGCACUUCUCUGGGCCGUAACUGACGCUGAGGAGCGAAAGCGUGGGGAGCGAACAGGAUUAGAUACCCUGGUAGUCCAC
rnacentral:rRNA from 1 species